rnacentral:rRNA from 1 species
AUUGAACGCUGGCGGCAGGCUUAACACAUGCAAGUCGAGCGGGGGAAGGUAGCUUGCUACCGGACCUAGCGGCGGACGGGUGAGUAAUGCUUAGGAAUCUGCCUAUUAGUGGGGGACGACAUCUCGAAAGGGAUGCUAAUACCGCAUACGUCCUACGGGAGAAAGCAGGGGAUCUUCGGACCUUGCGCUAAUAUAUGAGCCUAAGUCGGAUUAGCUAGUUGGUGGGGUAAAGGCCUACCAAGGCGACGAUCUGUAGCGGGUCUGAGAGGAUGAUCCGCCACACUGGGACUGAGACGCGGCCCAGACUCCUACGGGAGGCAGCAGUGGGGAAUAUUGGACAAUGGGGGGAACCCUGAUCCAGCCAUGCCGCGUGUGUGAAGAAGGCCUUAUGGUUGUAAAGCACUUUAAGCGAGGAGGAGGCUACUUUAGUUAAUACCUAGAGAUAGUGGACGUUACUCGCAGAAUAAGCACCGGCUAACUCUGUGCCAGCAGCCGCAGUAA